rnacentral:rRNA from 1 species
AGUGGCGGACGGGUGAGUAACGCGUGAGUAACCUGCCUCUAAGAGGGGAAUAACAUUCUGAAAAGAAUGCUAAUACCGCAUAACAUAUAUUUAUCGCAUGGUAGAUAUAUCAAAGAUUUAUCGCUUAGAGAUGGACUCGCGUCCGAUUAGUUAGUUGGUGAGGUAACGGCUCACCAAGACUGCGAUCGGUAGCCGGACUGAGAGGUUGAACGGCCACAUUGGGACUGAGACACGGCCCAGACUCCUACGGGAGGCAGCAGUGGGGGAUAUUGCGCAAUGGGGGAAACCCUGACGCAGCAACGCCGCGUGAAGGAUGAAGGUCUUCGGAUUGUAAACUUCUUUUAUUAAGGACGAAGAAAGUGACGGUACUUAAUGAAUAAGCUCCGGCUAACUACGUGCCAGCAGCCGCGGUAAUACGUAGGGAGCAAGCGUUGUCCGGAUUUACUGGGUGUAAAGGGUGCGUAGGCGGCUUUGCAAGUCAGAUGUGAAAUCUAUGGGCUCAACCCAUAGCCUGCAUUUGAAACUGCAGAGCU